UACGUAGGGUGCGAGCGUUGUCCGGAAUUACUGGGCGUAAAGCGCACGUAGGCGGCUUGGUAUGUCGGGUGUGAAAUCCCCAGGCUUAACCUGGGAACUGCAUUCGAGACUGCAUUGCUAGAGUAUGGGAGAGGGAAGUGGAAUUUCCGGUGUAGCGGUGAAAUGCGUAGAUAUCGGAAGGAACAUCAGUGGCGAAAGCGACUUCCUGGACCAAUACUGACGCUCAUGUGCGAAAGCGUGGGGAGCAAACAGG
rnacentral:rRNA from 1 species